CUACAGAGAAUGUCCACAGUUUGAGUAUUGCAUCUAUGAUGAAGAAGAAUGUCGCCCUGGAAGUAGUUUAUGUCGCUGCAUGUAUGGUUGUGUUUUGGAAGGACAUUACUUGCGCUAUCAGUAUCGAUAUAUUUCUGGUAAAGGAAUAUGUUUCGUGAGGACCCAACAAAAAAUAAGGCAGAUUGUAAACAGCAAGUGAAUGAAUUUUAGGACAUCUAUUUGCUAUUCCAGCCAAAAUGGAAAUGUGUCAAAACCGUGCUGUAACAACUGAGGUGAAGUGGAAAUAAGGGAGGGUUCUGGGGAAAUAAGUGAGGGUUCUAGGGAAAUAAGUGAGGGUUCUGGGGAAAUAAGUGAGGGUUCUGA